UACGUAGGGUGCGAGCGUUAAUCGGAAUACUGGGCGUAAAGCGUGCGCAGGCGGUGAUGUAAGACAGAUGUGAAAUCCCCGGGCUCAACCUGGGAACUGCAUUUGUGACUGCAUCGCUGGAGUGCGGCAGAGGGGGAUGGAAUUCCGCGUGUAGCAAUGAAAUGCGUAGAUAUGCGGAGGAACACCGAUGGCGAAGGCAAUCCCCUGGGCCUGCACUGACGCUCAUGCACGAAAGCGUGGGGAGCAAACAGG
rnacentral:rRNA from 1 species